rnacentral:rRNA from 1 species
UACGGAGGGAGCUAGCGUUGUUCGGAAUUACUGGGCGUAAAGCGCACGUAGGCGGAUAUUUAAGUCAGGGGUGAAGUCCCGGGGCUCAACCCCGGAACUGCCUUUGAUACUGGGUAUCUAGAGUCCGGAAGAGGUGAGUGGAACUCCUAGUGUAGAGGUGGAAUUCGUAGAUAUUAGGAAGAACACCAGUGGCGAAGGCGGCUCACUGGUCCGGUACUGACGCUGAGGUGCGAAAGCGUGGGGAGCAAACAGG